CAAUCAGGGUAAAUAAAUCUGCCCCUUCCGUCAGCAAUGGCGGUAGCAAACUCCUCUAAUUGCUGGAAACCCUCACAUCUAUCCGUGAGGCAAUCAGCAGCCAAGCCCUACACAGUACACAAUAUAGAAAAAAUAGGGAAGGUUCAACGACCAGAGCGUGAUUGCUCGUAGCCUCAAGUGAGGCGAAAUGGGGAGGCUCCUUCAGGGAGUAUGAUAUGGUCUGAUCUACCUGGUGACAGGUAG
rnacentral:ncRNA from 1 species